GAUGAACGCUGGCGGCGUGCCUAAUACAUGCAAGUCGAGCGAACGGACGAGGAGCUUGCUUCUCUGAUGUUAGCGGCGGACGGGUGAGUAACACGUGGAUAACCUACCUAUAAGACUGGGAUAACUUCGGGAAACCGUAGCUAAUACCGGAUAAUAUAUUGAACCGCAUGGUUCAAUAGUGAAAGACGGUUUUGCUGUCACUUAUAGAUGGAUCCGCGCUGCAUUAGCUAGUUGGUAAGGUAACGGCUUACCAAGGCAACGAUGCGUAGCCGACCUGAGAGGGUGAUCGGCCACACUGGAACUGAGACACGGUCCAGACUCCUACGGGAGGCAGCAGUAGGGAAUCUUCCGCAAAGGGCGAAAGCCUGACGGAGCAACGCCGCGUGAGUGAUGAAGGUCUUCGGAUCGUAAAACUCUGUUAUUAGGGAAGAACAUAUGUGUAAGUAACUAUGCACGUCUUGACGGUACCUAAUCAGAAAGCCACGGCUAACUACGUG
rnacentral:rRNA from 1 species